rnacentral:rRNA from 1 species
UGGGGGAUAUUGCACAAUGGGGGGAACCCUGAUGCAGCGACGCCGCGUGGGUGAAGGAGCGUUUCGGCGCGUAAAGCCCUGUCAGCAGGGAAGAAAGAGGACGGUACCUGAAGAAGAAGCCCCGGCUAACUACGUGCCAGCAGCCGCGGUAAUACGUAGGGGGCAAGCGUUAUCCGGAUUUACUGGGUGUAAAGGGGGCGCAGACGGCGAAGCAAGCCAGGAGUGAAAGCCCGGGGCCCAACCCCGGGACUGCUCUUGGAACUGCGUGGCUGGAGUGCAGGAGGGGCAGGCGGAAUUCCUGGUGUAGCGGUGAAAUGCGUAGAUAUCAGGAGGAACACCGGUGGCGAAGGCGGCCUGCUGGACUGCAACUGACGUUGAGGCCCGAAAGCGUGGGGAGCAAACAGG